rnacentral:rRNA from 1 species
GGAUUAGGCAUGCAAGUCGAGCGAGAUAUUUCGGAUGGAAACUUCGGUCGAAGUCCGGGAUUGAAAGCGGCGAAAGGGUGAGUAACACGUAGUUACCUACCCCAGGGUCCGGGAUAGCCUCGGGAAACUGAGGGUAAUACCGGAUAAUCUCUCCGGAGCAAAGGUGUGACUCCGCCCUGGGAGGGGACUGCGUCCUACUAGCUUGUUGGUGGGGUAAUGGCCUACCAAGGCUACGAUGGGUAGUGGGCGUGAGAGCGUGGCCCACCACACUGGGACUGAGACACUGCCCAGACACCUACGGGUGGCUGCAGUCGAGAAUCUUCGGCAAUGGGCGCAAGCCUGACCGAGCGACGCCGCGUGUGGGAUGAAGGCUUUCGGGUUGUAGACCGCUGUCAGUGGGGAGGAAGGCUCUGUGAAGAGCAGAGCUUGACCUAUCCGCAGAGGAAGUCCGGGCUAAGUUCGUGCCAGCAGCCGCGGUAAUACGAACCGUACGAACGUUAUUCGGAAUUAUUGGGCUUAAAGGGUGCGUAGGCGGCUCAGAAAGUGGGGUGUGAAAGCCCUCGGCUCAACCGAGGAAUUGCGCCCCAAACUACUGAGCUCGAGGGAGACAGGGGUGAGCGGAACUGAUGGUGGAGCGGUGAAAUGCGUUGAUAUCAUCAGGAACACCGGUGGCGAAAGCGGCUCACUGGGUCUCUUUUGACGCUGAGGCACGAAAAGCUUAGGGGAGCGAACGGGAUUAGGAUACCCCGGGUAGUCCUAGCUGUAACGAUGAGCACUUGGUUGGGGAUCCUCCCAUAGGUUCCCGGCCGUAGCGAAAGUGUUAAGUGUUCCGCCUGGGAGUAUGGUCGCAAGGCUGAAACUCAAAGGAAUUGACGGGGGCUCGCACAGGGGGUGGAGGAUGGGCUUAAUUGAGGCUACGCGAAGAACCUUAUCCGGGCCUUGACAGCAGGAUUAACCCUGGAAAGCAGGGCCAGCCUUCGGGGGGAACAUGCACAGGUGCUGCAUGGCUGUGUCAGCUCGUGUCGUGAGAGUCGGGUUAAGUCCCUUAACGAGCGAAACCCUUUCUCUAGUGCCACGAUCAUGUCGGGGACUCUAGAGAACGCCGGUGUUAAACCGAGAAGGUGGGGAGACGUCAAUCCUCAUGCCUUUAUGGCCCGGCUCACACUCCUACAAUGCAUUACAAAGGAACAAACUCGUAACCAUCGAAUCCCAAAAACUCCCCAUUCGAUUCAGCUCAACUCCCUCA